rfam:Ruegeria atlantica strain CECT 4293 genome assembly, contig: 0035
UGCUCAUCACAACGGCUUCCUGGCGUGAUGGAAAAUCUCAAUGGAGCA